AUAGCCAUGCCACCCUGAACGUGUCUGAUCUCAUCUGAUCUUGGAAACUAAAUUGUGAUGGGCCUGGUUAGCACUUGGAUGGGAGACAAAUCGGAGUUGAUGGCUUAUU
rnacentral:rRNA from 1 species